AGGGUUGUAGCUCACUGGUAGAGCAUCUGCCUUGCAUGCAGAAGGUCCCGGGUUCAAUCCUGGGCAUCUCCA